AGUCUUUCUCCCUCCUCUGGUCUCUACUGCGCAGACUCUGGUCUCUGAAUCGCCAAAAUGGCGGAAGAUUUUGGCUUCAUUUUCAUUGAAUGAAUGGGAACGGCGACACGGCGUCCAUCUUUAUAUACAGUCUAUGGUCUCCGUCGGUCUUUGCACCUUCACCUGUCGUUUGUCUCUCUCAGUGUUUAAUAGCUUUUCUCAGUGUUUCCUUGUUCUCUCUUAGCCUUGGUUCCUUGUUUCUUGUUUAUUUCUUGUUUUCUCGUUUAUAGUUUAUUUCCUUGUUUAUUUCUAGUUUCUUGUUUUAUUUCUUGUUCCCUAGCUCCCUGUAUAUACCCUGCUUGUGUUGAUUCCUAGUUUAUUCCUUGUAUAUAUUCCCUGUUUGUUUAUUUAUUAUCUCUAGUUGGUUUAGUUUAGGUUCUUUGAUUUGUUAUUGGUUAUUUGUGUAUCUUUGUUUCAUGUUACUUGUUUUCUUGUUAUUUAUUUAUUAAAUUAUUAUUUAUUUUCACCCUACCUGCACUUGUGUCCGCUUUCCUCGUCACCCUGCCUGGGUAUUCCUGACACCACGCAUGGACACUGGUGUUAAGAAGCACAUCUCGAUGGGUUGCACAAUUCGACAGAACACCGCCGGCUGUACCGUCGUAGGUGCUCUGCUUAACCACUGAGCAACACACAUUUCUCAGGUCUCAUAUUAAUAAGACUCAUUCAGAAUGGUGAUGUCCAUAUAUUUUAUUUUAAAAAUUAUUGCAAUAGCAAAAAGGUGUAUGUAGCACUGUCUGUUACAAUUAAUAAUUAAUAUAUAGCAACUAUUGUGUAGAUUUUACUUGCAGUUCAUUGUUAUUUUAUUAAUAGUAUUGUUGUCCGUUCAUGUUGUGGUGAUAAUUACAAUAUAAAUAGCCUAAAUUAGUAACAUAUUUUUGGCAUAAUAUUUUAAAGAUGAGUUUGCACGUUUCCUUCUGGAAAAGUCUGACCGAACACGCCUGAAAACACCUUAGUUAAGACCACGGUGGUUCAAACCAACAUAGUUCAAACUUCUGUGGUACCAACAAAGUACAAUGGUUUCGGGAAACAGUCAUACUUCAGAUGUUUAACGAUGCAUCAUACCAAUGAAAGCGCAGCGUAAGUUCUACUAUAGAGUCCAAUGCUACGUCACCUAAUUACCUAUCCAAUCAGCUGUUCCCUUCUGUCUUUAAAUAAGGAUAACUCAUUUAGUACUUUGCUGAAUUUUAGACACUGAUGGUCGUUCUUUCCUUCUUUCUUCCCCACCGCCACCAGGAUUGUCCCGUUUGGUUGCCCGGGUGUUGGCUCCGGCCUGUCUUCAAUAUACGACAGGAUCUGCAGAGCCCAGAUGUAUCAAGUCCUGGGCCGAUGACGGGACCUACGCCAAAGACUCUACUAGAAGAAACUGUUUCUAUAUAACUUUCUUUUAAAUAUUACUGACUUUGUUUUUAUAAAAAAAAAAUUGUUUAAAAAUUAUAUGGUUCAACUAACAAAUUUGCUUCCAGAGUCGCAAUAGUAGAACGUUAGUUCAAUGCUAGGCUCCGUCAUUGUACGGGAAACACACCCCGGGUGGGGAGUUGUGAAGAGCACCGCUCAAUUACAGUUGUAUGGUAAGCUAAUUUUUUUUUUUUCCAGACUAGCAAUUAAAAAAAGUUGAUAGCUAAAUGUGUCUGAGAGCGAGAGGUCCAAUAAUACUCUAAUAACACUACUAAGCUACAUGAAGUUUGGAGUUCUGUAGUGAUGUAGACUAAGCAGAAAGUUGGUUCCUAUGUGCACUAUGCUCCUCAGCAUCCGCUGACCCCGCUCUGUUAUUUCACAUUGACAGAGCGAGUUGCUGUCAUUCCCAGUCACUUACACUGUGUUAUUACAUCACUGACAGUUGGUUGUGGAAUAUUUAGUAGUGAGGAAAUUUCAAGCCUGGACUUGGCACAGUACCAUGCUGUAAUUCAAUGAGCCAUUAUUUCACUAAUACAUAAUUGUUUAUAAUUGUUUGUAGAAGUAGUCUGCAUGCUUGGUUUAAUACACAUGUGGCCAUAGAAGUUUUGGAAGUAUUAGAUUCUGAGUUAAAUUAUUUGGAUGGAUGAUGCUUUAUAUUACAGGUGGUGUCCUCAAAAGCAGUUGGCUUCUGCGGUGGAGCAGAGGCUGAAAGUGUUGCAUUUCCAUGCUCCGCGACCGCAAACUGCGAGAAAAAGUUAAUCCAAUGGGGGUCAGUGUACAGCAGCGUGGUUACCACAUUUAAUGUGAAAGCACGUUUAGGCCGGCUCCUGGGCUGUACAGUGGGAUGAUGCCCUCUUAGCAUUGUAGAGAAUAAAGGCUUUAAUAAUAUGGUGAAAAUAAUGUAGCCUCAUUACACCUUACCAUACCCAAGACACAAUGCAGUCUCUCCUGUCCGUACAAUCCACAGCCAGAGGCAAGCCACAUCAUGAUGCUGAAAAAAAAAGACAUUACAAGGCAUACCUGCUGAAUGAUGAUAACUCACAUUACAUACGUCACAAGGUCCAGUAAAAUUAUGCUGUGAUAGUGUGGAGACCCUGACAUUAUCACUUAUGCGGACACAAAAAGAGACAGUAAUUUAAAAAGUGAAAUAUAAAAAAUUAACAGAAGAAGACACUCAUGUUCCAUGAACAAGUUGUUUGAGGAGAUGCUUAUUGAAGUUAGAACCUCCGCCUGUUGAGGGCAGUCUACUGCAGCAGUUGCACUGCUGUGGAUUUCCACAUGUCAUCUUUACUUCUGUGCUGAGAAGAUUUUGUCAAAAUUUGGAGGUUAAAGGUAAUUAAAACCUAUUAAAUAUUACUUGGAGUUGGUGGUAGUCUGUUUUUAUGCCAUACCUGUCAAGUCUUGCGUUUUGGCCGGGAAACUACCAUAUUUUGCUCCGUAUUAAAGUUUUUAAAACUUUAUUAUUGAGCCGACAGGCCACUGAUUGCUGCUUGUCUCUGAAAGUCCCGCCUGGGGUGCUGGUUUUGCGGAGCGCAGAGGAGGUCACUGUGAUCGAUUGUUCUAAAAGAAAGGAGGAGUUUUUGAACCAGGUUCCAACCUGGGGAUCUAUUUGAAUCAUGGGAAAAUGGGUCUACCCAGGAAUUACUGCAACAGAAUCAUAAACACAAGGAUUCUAAGGAACAGAUUGCUUGGACUGGGAAUCGUUUGGAUUAUUUUCCCCUUUUUUUAAGGAUUACCGGUAAGACUGAUCAAUUUUUUUUUGGGAUUUUUUCAGAACACUUGUUUUUUCAUAUUUUUUCUUCUUUUUUCUUUUUGGGUACUUUUGGCCUGAAACUGGACUAUUUUUUUUCUAAGGACUGUGUAAUUAUGUGGAAUUUGGUCUACUGUUUUAUAAUCUAUGUCGGUGCGAUCUCUGUGGCAAUUCACUAUAAAAGUAGUAUGUGGGGUUCAUGGCAUAUCCGUGGUAACGUGUAAGUGAUUUGACGUGUUAUCUAUCAGUGUUAGGAAGCAGGAGACCUUCUUUAUUCUAUUUUCUAUGAUGCUCCCCUUAUGGGGAGGUCACAUAGUGGCGCCCGAACAGGGACCCUGCUGUUGUAAUCAUACUAAUUUGAUUCUACCUUUUUUAAAUACUGUCGCUAUAUUUUUGUCUGAUUCACAUUUUCAAAAGGUCCUAAAGGGACUUCACGGCAGGGCCUUUUGUUACUCGAAAAUCCAUGGAUCAAGUCAUGAAUCCCACAUACUACUUUUAUAGUGAAUUGCCACAGAGAUAUGUAACAGACAUGGUCUUAUACACCUU